CCGCGUGAAUGAUGAAGGCCCUAGGGUUGUAAAAUUCUUUCAUCAGGGACGAUAAUGACGGUACCUGAAGAAGAAGCCCCGGCUAACUUCGUGCCAGCAGCCGCGGUAAUACGAAGGGGGCUAGCGUUGUUCGGAAUUACUGGGCGUAAAGCGCGCGUAGGCGGACUAUUAAGUCAGAUGUGAAAUCCCGGGGCUCAACCUCGGAACUGCAUUUGAAACUGGUAGUCUAGAGGCCAGGAGAGGUUAGUGGAAUGCCGAGUGUAGAGGUGAAAUUCGUAGAUAUUCGGUGGAACACCAGUGGCGAAGGCGACUGACUGGACUGGUACUGACGCUGAGGUGCGAAAGUGUGGGGAGCAAACAGGAUUAGAUACCCUGGUAGUCCACACCGUAAACGAUGAGUGCUAGUUGUCGGCAGGCAUGCCUGUCGGUGACGCAGCUAACGCAUUAAGCACUCCGCCUGGGGAGUACGGCCGCAAGGUUAAAACUCAAAGAAAUUGACGGGGGCCCGCACAAGCGGUGGAGCAUGUGGUUUAAUUCGAAGCAACGCGCAGAACCUUACCUACCCUUGACAUGCCCGGUUUGGUCGCCAGAGAUGGCUUCCUUGAUUCGUUCGCCGGUGCACAGGUGCUGCAUGGCUGUCGUCAGCUCGUGUCGUGAGAUGUUGGGUUAAGUCCCGCAACGAGCGCAACCCUCAUCCUUAGUUGCCAUCAGGUUUGGCUGGGCACUCUAAGGAAACUGCCGGUGGCAAGCCGGAGGAAGGUGGGGAUGACGUCAAGUCCUCAUGGCCCUUACGGGUAGGGCUACACACGUGCUACAAUGGCAGUGACAAUGGGAUAAUCCCUAAAAACUGUCUCAGUUCGGAUUGUCGUCUGCAACUCGACGGCAUGAAGUUGGAAUCGCUAGUAAUCGUGGAUCAGCAUGCCACGGUGAUACGUUCCCGGGCAUUGUACACACCGCCCGUCACAUCAUGGGAGUUGGUUCUACC
rnacentral:rRNA from 1 species